rnacentral:rRNA from 1 species
GACCUCAGGUCAGGCGGGGCUACCCGCUGAGU